UCGAACCGGUGCGAGCUUAGGAUCGACACGCUAGGUAAGACAUGGCCACCGUCGCGUUGAUAGACCAAAGUUCGCCUUUCCACUGACUGACUCGUCGGACUGCCUUUCUGACCCUACCGUUCGUCUCGUUCAAGGUCUUCGCCUCAACUUCUCUGAGAAAGAGAUGGAUUCAGGGGUAGGAGGGCAUCGCUGGAGCGUAUUCGACGGCGUGAAAGCCCUACCUUCCAGCCCUGAAGCCCUCAUGGCGGAGAUCAACGCGGCCAUUGCUGCUUCUGAGUAUGUCCAUGCCACCUCUUUCCUCCAAUCCUUCGCUUCUUCUUCCUUCUCCGACGAGACGAUCAACACUUGCGGUUCGGGGUCGGAGACAGGUCCAGCCCAGCCCCAGCCACAGUCCCAGCCCAAGUACGACGCUCGGCUGGCCGACGAAGCAUACAGGGCAGGUUGUGCUGCUUUGGCCGUAGGGAAGCCCAACGAGGCUCUCCACUCUCUCAGAAUUGCUCUCUCCAAAUGCCCUCCUGAGAAGCGCUCCGCCCUUACCAAGCUCCACUCCCUCAUCUCUCUCGCCUCUCAGCAACUCCAAGAACCCACCGCGACCUCGAAUUGAUUUUUAAUCAGCUCUCUGUUACCUCUCUUCAAGAUGGACCCCAUAUAUGGAAAAUUAAAGAAGUUCAAUCCUCGAGGUUUCAGAAUGCUACCACAUUCUCAUUAGUGGACUCAUAUGUGUCAGAAGCCAUGCAUCUGAGUUCUUAUGAUCUCGUGUUCUAUUAUAACGUGAUACUUUCGUUGUACAUAUUUGUUCCUCUAAUGAGCCCCAGGCUCUUUUGCUCGAGUUAUUGCCCCUUUGUUGUCUCAAUACAAUGGAAUGAGAUCCUUAAAGAGUUCUUGGACAACUUCAAGAUCACUCAAGUAUUUCUUCAACCAAACUUCUUCUUUGGCUGCA